CAGUGCCACCAGCGCUGCCACCCGCCGUGUCACCCGCGGUGUCACCCGUGCCCGGUGAGGGGCUGGAACGGCACCGGGACCGGCACCGGGACCGGCAGGGAGGGGUCUCUGCUGCUCCAGAGCCCCCCCAGAUUGCGGCGCGAUGGACGCGGGGGACAACGGGGGACAAGGCGGCGACCCCCGGGUGGCACAGGCGCAGCGCCGGCGGGACCUGGAGGCGGAGCUCCGUGACCUCAGCAGACAGGUGGCGGCGCUGGGGCGGAGCCUGGAGGCGGAAAGGGGGCGGAGCCUGCUGGAGGGCGGGGCCCUGCGCGCGCUGGAAAUGGCGGUGGGCGGAGCCAAGGCCCGGGUGGGCGGAGCCUGUCGGGCCCUGGACCGGGCCAAUGAGCGGCUGAGGCUGCAGCAGGUGGGCGGGGCCUGGGCUGGAGGGGGCGGGGCCUCGGGCA
rnacentral:lncRNA from 1 species